rnacentral:rRNA from 1 species
CUAGACUCCUACGGGAGGCAGCAGUGGGGAAUAUUGCACAAUGGGGGAAACCCUGAUGCAGCGACGCCGCGUGAGUGAAGAAGUAUUUCGGUAUGUAAAGCUCUAUCAGCAGGGAAGAAAAUGACGGUACCUGACUAAGAAGCCCCGGCUAACUACGUGCCAGCAGCCGCGGUAAUACGUAGGGGGCAAGCGUUAUCCGGAUUUACUGGGUGUAAAGGGAGCGUAGACGGUAGAGCAAGUCUGAAGUGAAAGCCCGCGGCUCAACUGCGGGACUGCUUUGGAAACUGUUCAACUGGAGUGCUGGAGGGGUAAGCGGAAUUCCUAGUGUAGCGGUGAAAUGCGUAGAUAUUAGGAGGAACACCAGUGGCGAAGGCGACUUUCUGGACUGUACCUGACGCUGAGGCGCGAAAGCGUGGGUAGCGAACGGGAUUAGAUACCCUCGUAC